CUGUGAUUCUAUGAUGACUCAGCUAGAGUGGGCUGGAUUCCCUCACUGACCUUCAGUCCUCGACCUGUGCUCUGCUGUUCCCCAGUUACUGGGUUAGAGGAUGCAGCGAACAAACCUACAAACCCGGCUCCUCCCUCUGCACGCCAUCAAUAUUUCAUCUUGGUUUCAGUCUUGUGGCUCAAGCUGAAAGGCAAAGGAGAGCCCCACUGCCAGGAGAAGGAAGAAGCACUCCAUCUGCACAUCAGUCCCAAGGGGAAUCCACUGCUCGCUAAGGUUGUUCAGACCAACAUCAAGUAGUGAAACUGGAUGCCAUGAAGAUUUAAUAAAGAACCUAAAAAAUUACUAACUUGAGCCAUGAAGCAAGAG